GACCGUCCGUGGCUUCGGCCUUAGCGACGGACACACAGCGAACGCAAAGCCACACGCACGAAGUCGGAGGCUGCAGCGGCGGCGGCGGCGAAAUGGCUCCGAUCGCGGCGCCAAGGAAGGCGGGAUCUCCCUUUCUGGGCUAAGAAAGCUGCCAUAAUGUUGUGAGAAACUGAAGCCUCUGGCCAAGAGCCAGCACGGAACAGAGGCCUGCCCACAACUAUAGUUUUCUGAAGGUCUGUUGGAGUGGAGAAGAACAGCCAAGUGAGGAUGGCUGAGAUCUACCCAGGAUAAGAUGGCAUUUAAGUCCAUGAGAAUGAUGGACUUCCCUGGUGGCACAGUGGUUAAGAAUCUGCCUGUCAAUGAAGGGGACACGGGUUCGAGCCCUGGUCCGGGAAGAUCCCACAUGCCACGGAGCAACUAAGCCCGUGCGCCACAACUACUGAGCCCGUGUGCCACAACUACUGAAGCCCGCGCACCUAGAGCCUGUGCUCCGCAACAAGAGAAGCCACUGCAAUGAGAAGCCCGUGCACCGCAACAAACAGGAGCUCCCGCUCGCCGCAACAACGAAGACCCAACACAGCCAAAAAUAAAGUCCAUGAGAAUGAGGAGGCUGAAUAUUCCGGAGAACUACUGUACCAUUGCAACUUCAUGCCUCCAGUCCCUAAGACUUUACUUUCAUGAGUUAAAUACAACCAUUUGGAAUGGAGGCAUAAAGAAGUGGACCAUGUACAGCACCGUGCGUUUUGACCUAUCUACCUACCUUUGUUCCACGGCUUGAGGAAGAAAGGUGCAAUGACAGCGAUGCCAUCGGCUCCUAUUUUUGCUGCAUGUUGGGCCUUUAAAAGAAGAAAGAAGACCAUUGGUCACAAUUCUGAUGUGUGUGAAUGUGGGUUUUUCUCCACCUCAAAAGGCAAUUCUCAAGCACCAGCUGGGUUUCCUACAAUUCAACUCAACUCUGACACUAUCUAACUGGAGAUACAGGUUAAGGGCUCAGUCCUACAAGACUAGCUCCCUACCCCCAUUUCAAAUGCCAGGUUAUAUCACCUGUGCUCCUGACCUAUGGGCUAUAAAUUAGAGGUUCCAACAACCCCCUCCUUGGGUCAAUUAGUUUGUUGGGGGGUGCUCACAGAACUCAGGGAAACAUUUUACUUAACGAGAUCACUGGCUUUUUAUAAAAGGAUAUGACUCAGGAACAGCCAGAUAGAAGAGGUGCAUAGGGCAAGGCAUGGGGAAAGGGCACAAUGCUUCCAUGUAAGCAGGACUCAUUUUUCUUCUCCCAGUGUGAGUGCACCACCCUCCCCAAAUCGCCACAUGUUCACAAAACUGGAAGCUCUUUGAAAUCCGUCCUUUGGCGUUUUCAUGGAGGCUUUACUACAUAGGCAUGAUUGAUUAUAUCAUUGGCGAUGGGGGAUUGGUUAAAAUAGGGUUGAUUAUAUCAACCCUAACUGAAAGUUCCAACCCCCUAAUUCUCAUGCCUGGUACUCUUGGCAACCAGCCCCCAUCCUUAGGUGCUUUCUAAAAGUCACCUCAUUAACAUAACAAGAGACACCUUUAUUGUUCUCAUCUCCGGGAAUUCCAAGGGUUUUGGAGCUCUGUGCCAGAAAUGGGACAAAGACCAAAUAUCUAUUUCUUGUUAUAGAUCACAAUUUCACAACCAUCCUGGAGUAAACGAUUUGUUAUAUUCACCUACAGCUUAGAUACUAGAGGUUAACAACAAACUCUUCAAAUUUGCCAACAGAUGUACCACUAGAGAGUGGAAAAUUACCACAUUUAAUGAUAAAUGUCAUUACCAGGAAAAUCCCAGGUUGCAAAGUAGAGACCCCUGGUGGAAGUGAGCUGUGUACUUAAUCUUAUUCUUCUGCAGACUUUGUCAGUACAAAAAAAACUUGCUAAGGAGACAUGAGCAGUUCAUUUUGAUAAACUAUAACUGUUAAAUAUAGAGAAACUUGCAGAUGUCAUUUCUCUUCUAGUGUUCAGCCCACUGGAUGAUACUGUCUUUCCUCUCCAAAGAUAUAACAGUCAUAUUUUAAAAUUUAUAUUACAGAUUGGAAAUGCAGUUGAGAAAGGCUGAGAAGAAAAAGAUUAUACAUAUCACAGAAGAUACAUUGCACUACUCUUCUGAUAUUUACUCACACUCCUUCAGAAAAAAUGAACAUUUCCUCCCACUGGGCCCUCAUAAUAUUUUUUAUCUAUUUCAAGUAGAGUACUUAAACCUAACACAUUGUGAGGUAGUUGUGUAUCGUUACUGGUCUCCAACUAGAGUGACUUCCCUGAGGGCAGAGGUCAGAUCUUAUUCACUCUUGUGUUCAGGUCAAUCAUGGUGCUGAGCACAUAGCAGGACUCAGUAGAUGUUGUUGAUUGCUUUGAAACAUGCCCCGCUACCUAAAAGGGAAAAACGGCUUUCCUCUGAGACUUAAGCUAGUGAUAUCUAUAUCUAAUAGAUGUGAUUAACUUUCUGCAGAACUAAAGUAGGAGAGUCAAAAAGAGAUUGGGAUAUAGCCCAAAGAACAAUCAAGACAUUGGAUAGGAUUUUAUUGACACAGGAUUGGAAUGUGAUAUAUUUGAAUCAUUUAUUUAGCACCUUGUUUAGGACAAGAGUAGUAGGGUAACCUUAGCUGAAAGGAAGGAAAAAAACCCACUUCAGAGACAGUUGAUGGCAGUGCCCAUUCAGCAUCAUCCAAUGGAGAGUUAUGUCUAAGCAGAUAUCAAUAUUACUGUCUCCUUGGCAAGAUUAUCCCACAGCAGGGGAUUAUCCCUAGAGCAGGGGAUUAUCUCUAUAUUAAGAUUAUCUUUAUACUAUUCUAGUGUUGAGCCCCAUGGUUGACACUGUCUGUCAUGUCAUGACACAACAAUAUUUUAAAACUCACAUUAUGCAUAGAAGAAAGCAACUGAAAAGAGAAGGGGAAAAAAAAAAGAUUUCCUCCAUUACGCUACCAUAGUUGAAAGACCUACUGUUAAGAAGAACAAAUCAAGUAUACAAAGGAUAAAUCAAGUUUCCAAGUUCUGAUUCUAGGCUUACUAAGCAAUCAUCUAGUAACGUCUUCCCUAGUGGCUUGCCUAACAGUGUUGAAUUGCAGUUUUGCAAGCAUACCGUAUACAUUCCAUUUCUAAAUUCAAUUAAUAGGAAACAGAAUCAAACAAAACCCACAAGAAGAUGUUGGGGUUAGAUCAAGUCACUGCGCUCUUUGGAAUUAGAAUAUCUAAAUUCUGAGGACAUGGUUAUGUGGACAAAGAACGUCCCUGCCAGUUCAGUAAACAGAGGAUGCUUCGGCCAAACAGCCAUCAGCCACUGCAGGCACCAGGUCGGUGUGACCUAAGGGGAACUCAGGAUGGAGAAAAACAUGCAUAUCAAAGGAAUGCUUUCAAUAAGCCCGAUCUCUUGCCCUUUCCCAUACAAGAAAACACUAAAAUCAUUAACCUGAGAUGCACGUUUUUGUGAUUAGCAAUAAUCUUUUGAUGUUCAACUACAUUUUUUUUUUUUCCAGCCAAAAACUCCUACACAUCCAGGCUCCUCCCUUACCUCUUUGGAACAGUCCCUCAGAGCUCGCUGAGUGGCUGUAUCCCAGGCUUAAGUCCUCAGUAAGUCUGCUGAAUAAAACAUAAUUCUCAACUUUUAGGUUGCACAUUUUUUUUCAGUCGACAGUCCAGGCUACAAGAUCUUUGUGCUUUCUUUUCUUACUUGAUCCACAAAGACCUCAAAACCACCACAUGGUUUACUUUUCUGCUAGCAACUUUAACUCCUUCCUCCCUCGCCACAAUAUUACUCCACCUAACCUGCUCACCUCUAAACCCAGAGCAAUCCAGUCUUUGCGUUCUUGUUCCUAUGUUCUGGUUGAAGAGUGUACCUAGAAGAAAAUCUCCACACCUGUGUGGAGUGGUGGUAUGACAAAUUUAUGACUUACAACUUUGGUUGGUUUUUAGCACCACUGGGGCAAUCCUUUUAAAAAAAUUAAUUACUUUUAAAUUUAUUUUUCAAAAUUGUGACCAAGAAAAACACAACAUUGGGAGUUCCCUGGUGGCCUAGUGGUUAGGAUUCCGGGCUUUCACUGCCGUGGCCUGGGUUCAGUCCCUGGUCGGGGAACUGAGAUCCCGCAAGCCACGCGGUGCGGCCAAAAAAUAAAAAUUAAAAAAAAAAAAUCACCAUCUUAGCCAUUUUUAAGUGUACAGUUCACUGCUGUUAAGUAUAUUCACAUUGUUGUGAAACAGAUCUCCAGAACUUUUUCAUCUUGCAGAUCUGAAAGUUUUGGAAGGAGCUGUCAGCAGGAACUCCACUUUAUACUUUAGGGCUCCAUCCUGUUAAACUGUGAACUGUGCUGACCCCGCUGACUUAAAAAAAAAAAAAAAAAGAAGAAGCUAUCUGUUGAGAAAGGCAUCCUGCGGAACUGUGCAGAAGUGUGCCUUUACUGAUAAUAAGUGAAACACACUUGAUGAGUCAAUAAAUUGUAACAGGAAAAAAAAAAAGAAUACAUACCUUCCAGUCACAACUCUUCACAAAAAACUUUUGGAAACUAAGUGUGCUUCUCUGUUUUCCUUUAAAAACUCCUGCCUUUUGUUUCCCAGAGGGGACACUGUUCUGGUGGCUGCUGGAAUCUGUGCUCCCUGAAUUGUAAUUCUAAGACUCCAAAUAACCAUAAAUUUGUUUUGUAUGUCUGUGAGUCUGUUUCUGCUUUCUAAAUAAGUUCAUUUGUAUCAUUUUUUUAGAUUCCACAUAUAAGUGAUAUCAUAUGGUAUUUGUCUUUCUCUGCCUGACUUACUUCACUUAGUAUGAUAUUCUCUAGGUCCAUCCAUGCUGAAUUAACAGAUACACACUACUUUAUACAAAAUAAACAACAAGGACUUACUAUACAGCACAGAGAACUAUAUUCAAUUAUAUAUAUAUAUAUAUACACACACACACACAUAUCUGAAAAGAGAAAACACUGUUGCAUCACUUGAAGUUUAUAGUAACACAAAGGGCUGCACUAUUGUGCUUUACGCUGGUUUUAAUAGUUAGCUAAUAUCUAAUCUCAAUCUCGGCGACUUCCCCGGCGGCGCAGUGAUUAAGAAUCCGCCUGCCAAUGCAGGGGACACGGGGUCGAUCCCUCAUCUGGGAAGAUCCCACACGCCCCGGAGCAACUAAGCCCAUGCACCACAACUCUUGAGCCUGUGCUCUAGAGUCCACGAGCCACAACUACUGAAGCCUGCGCACCUAGAGCCCGUGCUCUGCAACAAGAGAAGCCACCACAACGAGAAGCCCAUGCACAGCAGCAAAGAGUAGCCCCCGCUCGCCACAACUAGAGAAAGCCCACGAAGCAACGAAGACCCAAUGCAGCCAAAAAAAAAAAAAAAAAAAACUCAGUCUCAAGACUACUAAAUUCUACAGUGGUCUACUAAAAAUUAAUCUAAUCAGGGAUUUAAAAAAAUGUCCAGGGAAUAAAAUUUAAGGUUCAACCAAGCAAUAGAAUUUUGAAGGCAAUAACUGCUUAAUCUAUAUAUCUAUAUAUCUGUAUCUAUAUACAUAUAUAUCAAUAUAAAACUGAAUCACUGCUGUACACCAGAA